UACAGAGGGGGCAAGCGUUGUUCGGAAUUACUGGGACGUAAAGGGCGCGUAGGCGGCCUUCUAAGUCGAACGUGAAAUCCCCGGGCUCAACCCGGGAACUGCGUCCGAUACUGGAAGGCUUGAAUCCGGGAGAGGGAUGCGGAAUUCCAGGUGUAGCGGUGAAAUGCGUAGAUAUCUGGAGGAACACCGGUGGCGAAGGCGGCAUCCUGGACCGGCAUUGACGCUGAGGCGCGAAAGCCAGGGGAGCAAACAGG
rnacentral:rRNA from 1 species